rnacentral:rRNA from 1 species
AUUGAACGCUGGCGGCAGGCCUAACACAUGCAAGUCGAACGAGUGGCGGACGGGUGAGUAAUGUAUGGGAAACUGCCCGAUGGAGGGGGAUAACUACUGGAAACGGUAGCUAAUACCGCAUACCAUCAGAUGAACCCAGAUGGGAUUAGCUAGUUGGUGGGGUAACGGCUCCCCAAGGCGACGAUCCCUAGCGGGUAUGAGAGGAUGACCAGCCACACUGGAACUGAGACACGGUCCAGACUCCUACGGGAGGCAGCAGUGGGGAAGAUUGCACAAUGGGCGCAAGCCUGAUGCAGCCAUGCCGCGUGUAUGAAGAAGGCCUUAGGGUUGUAAAGUACUUUCAGCGGGGAGGCGUUACCCGCAGAAGAAGCACCGGCUAACUCCGUGCCAGCAGCCGCGGUAAUUC